rnacentral:rRNA from 1 species
GAUGAACGCUGGCGGCGUGCCUAAUACAUGCAAGUCGAGCGAACAGACGAGGAGCUUGCUCCUCUGACGUUAGCGGCGGACGGGUGAGUAACACGUGGAUAACCUACCUAUAAGACUGGGAUAACUUCGGGAAACCGGAGCUAAUGCCGGAUAAUAUAUUGAACCGCAUGGUUCAAUAGUGAAAGACGGUUUUGCUGUCACUUAUAGAUGGAUCCGCGCCGCAUUAGCUAGUUGGUAAGGUAACGGCUUACCAAGGCGACGAUGCGUAGCCGACCUGAGAGGGUGAUCGGCCACACUGGAACUGAGACACGGUCCAGACUCCUACGGGAGGCAGCAGUAGGGAAUCUUCCGCAAUGGGCGAAAGCCUGACGGAGCAACGCCGCGUGAGUGAUGAAGGUCUUCGGAUCGUAAAACUCUGUUAUUAGGGAAGAACAAAUGUGUAAGUAACUAUGCACGUCUUGACGGUACCUAAUCAGAAAGCCGCGGCUAACUACGUG